rnacentral:rRNA from 1 species
AAACCAACAGGGAUUGCCCCAGUAGCGGCGAGUGAAGCGGCAAAAGCUCCAUUUUGAAAGCGCCUCGGCGCGUUGUAGAACGGUUUGGACUAAGGCGUGGCGGGCAGCUAAGUCCCCUGGAACGGGGCGCCACAGAGGGUGAGAGCCCCGUGCGCUGCCUGAAGCGCUAUAGUCUCUGCCACGGAGUCGAGUUGUUUGGGAAUGCAGCUCUAAGUGGGUGGUAAAUUCCAUCUAAGGCUAAAUACUGGCGAGAGACCGAUAGCGAACAAGUACAGUGAUGGAAAGAUGAAAAGCACUUUGAAAAGAGAGUGAAACAGUACGUGAAAUUGUUGAAAGGGAAGGGUAUUUGGCCCGACAUGGGUCCUGUGCACCGUUGCCUCUCGUGGGCGGCGCUCUGCUGGGGCCUGGGCCAGCGUCAGUUUUGGUGGGAGGAGAAAGGUUGGGUGACCCACACUGUGGCGAGCCUUAUUGGAUACUCCCUACCGGGACUGAGGACUGCCGUUGUAGGACGCUGGCACAACGGCCAAAUACCGCCC